rnacentral:rRNA from 1 species
GACGAACGCUGGCGGCGUGCUUAACACAUGCAAGUCGAACGGAAAGGCCCUGCUUUUGUGGGGUGCUCGAGUGGCGAACGGGUGAGUAACACGUGAGUAACCUGCCCUUGACUUUGGGAUAACUUCAGGAAACUGGGGCUAAUACCGGAUAGGAGCUCCUGCUGCAUGGUGGGGGUUGGAAAGUUUCGGCGGUUGGGGAUGGACUCGCGGCUUAUCAGCUUGUUGGUGGGGUAGUGGCUUACCAAGGCUUUGACGGGUAGCCGGCCUGAGAGGGUGACCGGCCACAUUGGGACUGAGAUACGGACCAGACUCCUACGGGAGGCAGCAGUGGGGAAUAUUGCACAAUGGGCGGAAGCCUGAUGCAGAAACGCCGCGUGCGGGAUGACGGCUUUCGGGUUGUAAACCGCUUUCGCCUGUGACGAAGCGUGAGUGACGGUAAUGGGUAAAGAAGCACCGGCUAACUACGUG